UUAUCCUACGGGGCGCAGCAGUGGGGAAUAUUGCACAAUGGGGGGAACCCUGAUGCAGCGACGCCGCGUGGGUGAAGAAGUCAUUCGUGACGUAAAGCCCUAUCAGCAGGGAAGAAAAUGACGGUACCUGACUAAGAAGCCCCGGCUAACUACGUGCCAGCAGCCGCGGUAAUACGUAGGGGGCAAGCGUUAUCCGGAUUUACUGGGUGUAAAGGGAGCGUAGACGGCGAUGCAAGCCAGAUGUGAAAGCCCGGGGCUCAACCCCGGGACUGCAUUUGGAACUGUAUAGCUAGAGUGUCGGAGAG
rnacentral:rRNA from 1 species